rnacentral:rRNA from 1 species
AACCCCAUGCCGCGCUGCUUACACAUGCAAGUCGAACGGUGAAGCAGAGCUUGCUCUGUGGAUCAGUGGCGAACGGGUGAGUAACACGUGAGCAACCUGCCCCUGACUCUGGGAUAAGCGCUGGAAACGGCGUCUAAUACUGGAUAUGUGACGUGACCGCAUGGUCUGCGUCUGGAAAGAAUUUCGGUUGGGGAUGGGCUCGCGGCCUAUCAGCUUGUUGGUGAGGUAAUGGCUCACCAAGGCGUCGACGGGUAGCCGGCCUGAGAGGGUGACCGGCCACACUGGGACUGAGACACGGCCCAGACUCCUACGGGAGGCAGCAGUGGGGAAUAUUGCACAAUGGGCGGAAGCCUGAUGCAGCAACGCCGCGUGAGGGAUGACGGCCUUCGGGUUGUAAACCUCUUUUAGCAGGGAAGAAGCGAAAGUGACGGUACCUGCAGAAAAAGCGCCGGCUAACUACGUGCCAGCAGCCGCGGUAAUACGUAGGGCGCAAGCGUUAUCCGGAAUUAUUGGGCGUAAAGAGCUCGUAGGCGGUUUGUCGCGUCUGCUGUGAAAUCCGGAGGCUCAACCUCCGGCCUGCAGUGGGUACGGGCAGACUAGAGUGCGGUAGGGGAGAUUGGAAUUCCUGGUGUAGCGGUGGAAUGCGCAGAUAUCAGGAGGAACACCGAUGGCGAAGGCAGAUCUCUGGGCCGUAACUGACGCUGAGGAGCGAAAGGGUGGGGAGCAAACAGGCUUAGAUACCCUGGUAGUCCACCCCGUAAACGUUGGGAACUAGUUGUGGGGUCCAUUCCACGGAUUCCGUGACGCAGCUAACGCAUUAAGUUCCCCGCCUGGGGAGUACGGCCGCAAGGCUAAAACUCAAAGGAAUUGACGGGGACCCGCACAAGCGGCGGAGCAUGCGGAUUAAUUCGAUGCAACGCGAAGAACCUUACCAAGGCUUGACAUAUACGAGAACGGGCCAGAAAUGGUCAACUCUUUGGACACUCGUAAACAGGUGGUGCAUGGUUGUCGUCAGCUCGUGUCGUGAGAUGUUGGGUUAAGUCCCGCACGAGCGCACCCUCGUUCUAUGUGCCAGCACGUAAUGGUGGACUCAUGGGAUACUGCCGGGGUCAACUCGAGGAAGGUGGGGAUGACGUCAAUCAUCAUGCCCC